GCUGACAGGGCUACACACGUGCUACAAUGGCGCAUACAAAGAGAAGCGACCUCGCGAGAGCAAGCGGACCUCAUAAAGUGCGUCGUAGUCCGGAUUGGAGUCUGCAACUCGACUCCAUGAAGUCGGAAUCGCUAGUAAUCGUGGAUCAGAAUGCCACGGUGAAUACGUUCCCGGGCCUUGUACACACCGCCCGUCACACCAUGGGAGUGGGUUGCAAAAGAAGUAGGUAGCUUAACCUUCGGGAGGGCGCUUACCACUUUGUGAUUCAUGACUGGGGUGAAGUCGUAACAAGGUAACCGUAGGGGAACCUGCGGUUGGAUCACCUCCUA
rnacentral:rRNA from 1 species